rnacentral:rRNA from 1 species
CCUACGGGGGGCAGCAGUGGGGAAUAUUGGACAAUGGGGGGAACCCUGAUCCAGCCAUGCCGCGUGUGUGAAGAAGGCCCUCGGGUUGUAAAGCACUUUCAGUGAGGAAGAACGCCUGGUGGUUAAUACCCAUCAGGAAAGACAUCACUCACAGAAGAUGCACCGGCUAACUCCGUGCCAGCAGCCGCGGUAAUACGGAGGGUGCGAGCGUUAAUCGGAAUUACUGGGCGUAAAGCGCGCGUAGGUGGCUUGAUAAGCCGGUUGUGAAAGCCCCGGGCUCAACCUGGGAACGGCAUCCGGAACUGUCAAGCUAGAGUGCAGGAGAGGAAAGUAGAAUUCCCGGUGUAGCGGUGAAAUGCGUAGAGAUCGGGAGGAAUACCAGUGGCGAAGGCGGCCUUCUGGACUGACACUGACACUGAGGUGCGAAAGCGUGGGUAGCAAACAGGAUUAGAUACCCCAGUAGUC